UAAUCUAAUUAACCUAAGAUCUAAUUACUAACUAAUUAACAAAAAAGCAACAAAAAAACUGGAUCCAAGAACUGGAAAAUCUAUUCUGCAAAAUAAUCGCUUACGUAUUCUUCACUUCCUCCUUCAAAUCGAAAGCCUAUUGCUUUGCGAAUUCAAUUAUUGCAGGGUUAAUAGUGAUGCAAGGUGGAAAAUAUUCAGGUUGGAGAAACUGAAAUUUCAGGUUGAAGACUGAAUUCUCAGGUUGCAGAAUAGAAAACUCGAUUUGCAGAAAGGAAAUCUCAAGUUGAAGAAUCAAAAGCUCAAAAUGCAUAACCUAAAAAGCCAAGUUGCAGAAUAAAAGUUCUCGUGUGCAAAGGAAAGUGGCAUGGAAGAACAUUGGCAUGAGGAUGAGAGAUGAAGAAAUUAGAAGUAGGCUUAAGUCUUACAUGGUUGAUCUUGGUCAAAGUACCACUUUUUUCUAUAAUUGUAUUUGUAUGUAUUUGUAAAUGGAAUUGAAUCAUAACUUAAAUGGAAAUAUUGUAAGUCAAGAUGUAAUUUGAAUGAAUAUUGUAAUGAAUUUGAAUUUGAAAGUUGAAAUAAAAAACAAAUUUGCAUUGAAAA